rnacentral:rRNA from 1 species
AAACAUCGCCUCCUGCAGUAUAUAGGAGGUCCAGCCUGCCCAGUGACCAAGUUAAACGGCCGCGGUACCCUAACCGUGCGAAGGUAGCGCAAUCACUUGUUCUUUAAAUGAGGACUAGUAUGAAUGGCAUCACGAGGGUUACACUGUCUCCCACCUCUAAUCAGUGAAACUGAUCUCCCCGUGAAGAAGCGGGGAUAAAACUAUAAGACGAGAAGACCCCAUGGAGCUUCAAACCCGGCAUCAACCAUUAACAUUAAUACCACAUUAAAUAAAUGGACCUGACUGCUGGUUUUAGGUUGGGGUGACCGCGGAGCAUAACAAAACCUCCAUGAUGAACGACCUCCUCUCUAAUCCGAGAGCCACCACUCAAAGAAUCAAAAAAUUGACAUUUAUUGACCCAAACUAUUUUGAUCAACGAACCAAGUUACCCUGGGGAUAACAGCGCAAUCCAUUUCAAGAGCCCCUAUCGACAAAUGGGUUUACGACCUCGAUGUUGGAUCAGGGUAUCCUAGUGGUGCAGCCGCUACUAAAGGUUCGUUUGUUCAACGAUGAAAACCCUACGUGAUCUGA